AAUCAACGCUGGCGGCGUGCCUAACACAUGCAAGUCGAACGAGAUAGUGACUUCGGUCACUGGAAAGUGGCGUCCGGGUGAGUAACACGUGGGUAAUCUACCCUUGGGUGGGAAUAACGGAUCGAAAGAUUCGCUAAUACCGCAUAAUGCAGCGGCACCUAAUGGUGAAUAGUUGUUAAAGCGGGGGAUCGCAAGACCUCGCGCCUGAAGAGGAGCCUGCGGCAGAUUAGCUAGUUGGUGAGGUAAUGGCUCACCAAGGCUUCGAUCUGUAGCUGGUCUGAGAGGACGGCCAGCCACAC
rnacentral:rRNA from 1 species